rnacentral:lncRNA from 1 species
CUUCACAACCUCGUCAUCUUGUUCUAUUAACGUUCAGGCAGCAGAAUCGUUUCACAAGUACAGGAUGAAGAUAUCUUUCCUGAUGGUACUUCUACUACUGGGUUCCCUCUUAGCAUUUGACAUGACAGGAGCACAUCGUCACCGGAGAUGUCGUCGUCAUCGUCAUAGACGUCGUCGUCACCACGGAUGAUUAUCAAUGAUGGAUUACUGCCCUCGAGAGGAAUGAUCUACACCAGAGCACCAACAUGGAAAUGAGAGAAUGCUUUUAAUAAAUCAUCUAUAACAAAUCCUAUUGUGUGUUGAUUAAACUAAGAGGCUGGUAAGGUCAGG